rnacentral:tRNA from 1 species
GGGCGGUUAGCUCAGCGGUAGAGCACUACGUUGACAUCGUAGGGGUCACUGGUUCGAACCCAGUACCGCCCA